UACGUAGGGGGCUAGCGUUGUCCGGAAUCAUUGGGCGUAAAGGGCGCGUAGGUGGCCCGGUCAGUCCGUGGUGAAAGCGCGGGGCUCAACCCCGCGUCGGCCAUGGAUACUGCUGGGCUGGAGCACUGUAGAGGCAGAUGGAAUUCCGAGUGUAGCGGUGGAAUGCGUAGAGAUCCGGAAGAACACCGGUGGCGAAGGCGGUCUGCUGGGGUAAUGCUGACACUGAUGCGCGACAGCGUGGGGAGCAAACAGGG
rnacentral:rRNA from 1 species